CUUUACGCGACUCUGGGACACAUUUUGUCAGCAACCGGCAAGCAUGGCUCUGUGGUAAUAGAAUAGCCCGUGUAAUUUGACACUUCAACUUGCCGUGCACUACGUUAGUUGAUUCAGACAGUCACACUAACGAAACGCCGUGCGCUUUUCUCUCACUGUUUGUGAAGUGUUGAGGGGAGAAAACAGAUCGCAACUUCAAACCCAGGAGAUUUUCGGCGCCGUGCUGUGAUUGGACCUGAAAGUGCGGUGGACCCUAGUGUAGACGGGAGCUUGCAGAGGGACCUUCCCCACAGACUAUAUGAAGGGAGGGGAGGGGGAGGUGGAGGGGGGGCUGCUGACGUUACUCCCAGCUUGCAGAACACACAGAUCACUUUCAUCUAUGAUUGAUGAAGAUAUGUGAGUGAAUUUGCCAAAUACUGAACAAAGAAAUCUACUGCAUCCUCCGGUAAGUGCUUUGACUGAUGAUCCUUCACUGCUCAUUUCUGCUAAUGAUUGUUC
rnacentral:lncRNA from 1 species